rnacentral:rRNA from 2 species
UGGGGAAUAUUGCACAAUGGGGGAAACCCUGAUGCAGCCAUGCCGCGUGUGUGAAGAAGGCCUUCGGGUUGUAAAGCACUUUCAGCGAGGAGGAAAGGUUGGCGCCUAAUACGUGUCAACUGUGACGUUACUCGCAGAAGAAGCACCGGCUAACUCCGUGCCAGCAGCCGCGGUAAUACGGAGGGUGCAAGCGUUAAUCGGAAUUACUGGGCGUAAAGCGCACGCAGGCGGUUGGAUAAGUUAGAUGUGAAAGCCCCGGGCUCAACCUGGGAAUUGCAUUUAAAACUGUCCAGCUAGAGUCUUGUAGAGGGGGGUAGAAUUCCAGGUGUAGCGGUGAAAUGCGUAGAGAUCUGGAGGAAUACCGGUGGCGAAGGCGGCCCCCUGGACAAAGACUGACGCUCAGGUGCGAAAGCGUGGGGAGCAAACA